GAUGAAGAACGCAGCGAAAUGCGAUAAGUAAUGUGAAUUGCAGAAUUCAGUGAAUCAUCGAAUCUUUGAACGCACAUUGCGCCCCUUGGUAUUCCGAGGGGCAUGCCUGUUCGAGCGUCAUUAUAACCCCUCAAGCUCAGCUUGGUGUUGGGGCCUGCUGCACUGGCAGCCCUUAAAAUCAGUGGCGGCGCCAUCUGGCUCUAAGCGUAGUAAUUCUUCUCGCUAUGGAGUCCUGGUGGAUGCUUGCCAUCAACCCCCAAUUUUUCUAUGGUUGACCUCAGAUCAGGUAGGGAUACCCGCUGAACUUAAGCAUAUCAAUAAGCGGAGGA
rnacentral:misc_RNA from 1 species